GACGAACGCUGGCGGCGUGCCUAAUACAUGCAAGUAGAACGCUGAAGGAGGAGCUUGCUUCUCUGGAUGAGUUGCGAACGGGUGAGUAACGCGUAGGUAACCUGCCUGGUAGCGGGGGAUAACUAUUGGAAACGAUAGCUAAUACCGCAUAAUAGUAGAUGUUGCAUGACAUUUACUUAAAAGGUGCAAUUGCAUCACUACCAGAUGGACCUGCGUUGUAUUAGCUAGUUGGUGGGGUAACGGCCCACCAAGGCGACGAUACAUAGCCGACCUGAGAGGGUGGUCGGCCACACUGGGACUGAGACACGGCCCAGGAUCCUACGGGGGGCAGCAGUAGGGGAUCUUCGGCAAUGGACGGAAGGCUGGCCGAGCAACGCCGCGUGGGGGAAGAAGGUUUUCGGAUCGGAAAGCUCUGUUGUAAGAGAAGAACGAGUGUGAGAGUGGAAAGUUCACGCUGUGACGGUACCUUACCAGAAAGGGACGGCUAACUACGUG
rnacentral:rRNA from 1 species